rnacentral:rRNA from 1 species
GUCUACGGCCAUACCACCCCGAACGCGCCCAAUCUCGUCUGAUCUCGGAAGCUAAGCAGGGUCGGGCCUGGUUAGUACUUGGAAGGGAGAAGAAAGAGAUACAAACGACAAAUACA